CCAUCCUGACUCCAAGGACAGCCCUGUAGGCUUCCCAGGGCCCAGCCGCUUUGGGCCAGGCGCCCUGCACCUUCCCGUCCCGCCCUCCAGAGGGCGCCUUGGAGUCAGCCGCCUCCCUCUCCGCCGCCUCCACCCUGCAGGCCGGCCGAGCACGCCCUGAGAGAAAAAAACUCUGAGGGGGUACCUGCUCGCCCUGGAGAAGGCUGUAAGAGGGAAUGAGAGAGGUCCACCAAGAUGGAAGCCAGAUUCUCUUUGUAAGAUUUGCCUCAUCUGAGCACUGGUAUUUCUACACUAUGGAUAUCCUGUACUUAGCAAGAGAUGUUACAUAGCAUGACUUCCUCAGUUGGAGAAAAUCUCUUUGAC